rnacentral:rRNA from 1 species
CCUACGGGAGGCAGCAGUGGGGAAUCUUGCGCAAUGGGCGAAAGCCUGACGCAGCAACGCCGCGUGCGGGAAGAAGGCCUUAGGGUUGUAAACCGCUUUCAGUAGGAACGAAAAUGACGGUACCUGCAGAAGAAGGUGCGGCCAACUACGUGCCAGCAGCCGCGGUGACACGUAGGCACCAAGCGUUGUCCGGAUUUAUUGGGCGUAAAGAGCUCGUAGGCGGUUCAGUAAGUCGGGUGUGAAAACUCUGGGCUUAACCCAGAGCCGCCACUCGAUACUGCUGUGACUUGAGUUCGGUAGGGGAGCAGGGAAUUCCUAGUGUAGCGGUGAAAUGCGCAGAUAUUAGGAGGAACACCGGUGGCGAAGGCGCUGCUCUGGGCCGAUACUGACGCUGAGGAGCGAAAGCGUGGGUAGCAAACAGGAUUAGAUACCCUGGUAGUCCACGCCGUAAACGUUGGGCACUAGGUGUGGGUUCCAACCAACGGAAUCCGCGCCGUCGCUAACGCAUUAAGUGCCCCGCCUCGGGGAGUACGGCGGCGAACGCUAAAACUACAAAGGAAAGUUAGACGG